UACAGAGGAGCCAAGCGUUGUCCGGAUUGACUGGGCGUAAAGCGCACGCAGGCGGACGCGCGCGUGGGGUGUGAAAUCUGGCCGCUUAACGGCCAGGCGCCAUCCCAUACGGCGCGUCUGGAGUGAUGCAGAGGUCGAUGGAAUUGCCGGUGUAGUGGUGAAAUGCGUAGAGAUCGGCAGGAACACCCGUGGCGAAGGCGGCCAGCUGGGCCGUCCCUGACGCUGAGGCGCGAAGGCGUGGGGAGCAAACAGG
rnacentral:rRNA from 1 species